rnacentral:rRNA from 1 species
GAGGAAUAUUGGUCAAUGGGCGAGAGCCUGAACCAGCCAUCCCGCGUGCAGGAUGACGGCCCUAUGGGUUGUAAACUGCUUUUCUGCUCCAAGAAACCUGAUUACGCGUAAUCAGUUGACGGUAGAGUAGGAAUAAGCAUCGGCUAACUCCGUGCCAGCAGCCGCGGUAAUACGGAGGAUGCAAGCGUUAUCCGGAUUCAUUGGGUUUAAAGGGUGCGCAGGUUGGAAUGUAAGUCAGUGGUGAAAUACUGCCGCUUAACGGUAGAACUGCCAUUGAUACUGCGUUUCUUGAGUAUGGUUGAGGUAGGUGGAAUGUGUUGUGUAGCGGUGAAAUGCAUAGAUAUGACACAGAACGCCAAUUGCGAAGGCAGCUUACUAAGCCAUUACUGACGCUGAGGCACGAAAGCGUGGGGAUCGAAC